UUCUUUAUUUUAAAAAUUUUUUUACUUAAGUAGUGUGAACAUAUAUUAAGUGGCAUAGAAAAUUAUUAUACUUUUUAAUGUUUUAAACUUAAAAGGCUUGGCGGUGUUAUAUAUCCUUCCAGAGGAGUUUGCUUAUUUAUUUGAUAAUCCUCAAUUUAUACUUACUUUUUUUUGAACGGUUAAUCAUCAGUUUGUAUAUUGCUGUCAUCAGUUUAUUUUGUAAAAAUUAUGUAAGAAACUUAAUAAUUAAGAAAUUACUAUGUCAAGUCAAAAUGCAGCUAAUAGAAAAGGUUUAUAAAGUGAACUACAGUUUAUAAUUUUUAAUCGGAUUAGAUUGUGUAAUCGGUUUUUGAAGUUGGAUUUGGUAGUAAUAUUAUAAUAGUGAGUUUUUAUGAAUUAGGUUUUAUAGUGCG
rnacentral:rRNA from 1 species